rnacentral:rRNA from 1 species
GUUGGGCACUCUAAUGAGACUGCCGGUGACAACCGGAGGAAGGUGGGGAUGACGUCAAGUCCUCAUGGCCCUUAUAGGUGGGCUACACACGUCAUACAAUGGCUGGUACAAAGGGUUGCCAACCCGGCGAGGGGAGCUAAUCCCAUAAACCAGUCGUAGUCCGGAUCGCAGUCUGCAACUCGACUGCGUGAAGUCGGAAUCGCUAGUAAUCGUGGAUCAGAAUGUCACGGUGAAUACGUUCCCGGGUCUU